CUUAAUUUAAAUAGAGUUAUUAUAUUAAAUAAAUACAACAAGGAGUAAAAUAGCAAUCAAUUGUGAACACUCUACAAAUAACAACUCAGAUCCUAUAAGAGAGAGAAAAAGCUGGAGAUAUAGAAAGCUAGCCAUGGAGUCAAAUGCCCAAGGUACGGUGUACAACGACUUUAGGGUGUAGCCUUAGAGAUUGGGUUUAUAUAUCUUUCUUGGAGGCGCCAUAUGAGUGAAACGACAUAGAUAUAUAUUGAGAGAAACCGGAGAAGAAAAGGGAGAGAUCGAAGAAAGCCGGUGGUGGGUGUUUUCCGGGGGGAUGGUACGCCAGCAAGUGAAAGGUGAGCCCUUAGCUUCACGCUUGACCAUCAGGUAGUUCCAGAAGGGUAGUGAUGAUGUCAGUGGAUUAUGUGCUUCCCUGUGAAGAAGCAUCAGGUCGCAACUGUUACUAUCGUGAUAUGUCUCCGGUGAAGAAACUCCAGCAGAUCUGGAUGGAGAUGGAGUAGGUUCAACGAGUCUAGCAAUGAUUCUUGGUAACCAGGAAGAAAAUAUUGGUAGAAAGGUUGAUGACGAUUGACGAGACCCAAAUGGUGAUAACAGUCUUUAGUUCCAACAAAAGGGAAAUGGGUGUGCUUAUGAUUUGGUUUUCUCGAUGCGUGUUUGGGUGAAACUAUGGGUCUCUGAUGAUUGUCAUUGGGUGCUUCUAGAAUGGGCCAGAGCAAGACAAAGAGAUGAUGGCAGAUCGGCACUGUCGAAGGAGAAGAUGGUCGUGAAGUCGGUUACAGGAAUUGGAACGCCGCCGUGAUGUUCACAGAUUCAUCAAUUGGUAUCAGAGCGGGUCUUCAAGAUCAAUGUGAUUUUUGAAGAACGAUUCUCGGUUUGGCAACUUUUGUCGCAAUUGGAGCAAUUUUGGUGAGUCUUUCUCUAUGAUCUCUCAUAAUAUUUGAAUCGUGCGUUGCGUUUUUAAAAUUUUUUGAUCGUUUGACUCAUUGGAUCAAAUUUUCUUUAAAAAACCCACUUGUUGUGAUCCAAUAUUAUUUUUGUUGAUCAAAUCCUGAUCCAAUCCUGUUUGUUUGUUUGAUCCGAUUUUCAAAUUGAAACUAUUCAUUUGAAUCGAAUUUAAACUCAAAUUCAUUGUGAUUCAAUUUCUUGUGAUUUUACCCAAUGUUUUGGUCAGAUCAAUAUUUUUAUUGGAAUAUUUGAAGUCAAAUCGAGAAUCUGUUACUGUUUAUGAUGAUCUUUUAAGCCCGAAUAUAUUCGAUUAAGAUCCAAUAUCAUUAAUCUCUUACUGUUCAUAUCUACAAAGCCCAUAAGUGUUUUUGAUCCACUAUAUUCAAAUUGUGAGCCCAAUGAUUUGACAAAUCCUCUUAAAAAUAUCUCGCUAUUGUUCUUCAUCGUAAGUUUACUGACUGACGAUGUUUAUUGAAUCGCGUUUUCUUCAACUUGUUCUAGCAUCUUCGUUUUCUUCUCAUCAUUUCUAAAAUUGAUUUGUUUUGAUUGUUGAAUUCAACUUAUGAAUCGAUUUGAUAUAAUUUGUAUAUUCACAAAAUCGAUUAUGAUUAAGUUGCUGUUAAGAAAUCAUAAAAUCUGUUUUUGAUUUUGAUAAAUCUUGAACAAGAACACUUGAAGGAGGUGAAGAUCGAUUGGUUGAACAUAUUUUGAUCUGAAAUUUGUUGUUAGAAGCAUCGGUUUAUUGUUUAAUGAACUUUGAAAUCGGAAAAGUCAAAAGCAGAAAAAGUCAACUUCAAUUUUUGAAUGAUGAAACAAUGAAUUGAAGGCUGAAGUCGUUGGUUUUGAAGUUGAGAACAAGCUAUCGAUCUCGAAAUCAAGUCUAUUUUGGUGUUUAAUUUCGAAAUCUGGGUGAUUUGGAGUUCAUGGGAUCGAACAAAUUUUUAAGUUUGAUACGAAGAACUGGAAAUUGAAAGGCUUAACGAUUUUUUUUUCCGAAUAAUUGAUGUUUAUGAUUCGUUACUAAUAAUGAAGAAUUGAUGCACGAAGAUUUGGUUAAACAGUUUCAAAAGGUUGAUAAGCGAAUGGAUGUAAUCAAAAGUUUUAUAAUCGAAGGCAUACGAUCAAACUGUCUUCGUUAUGUCACAAUUGUAUGCCUGGAAUGAGAUUCGAAUGAAAAGGAUUUAGCUGGGAAAAUGUUUGAGGUUUGAAUGGUUCUGUUUGUAUAAAACAAGAAACAAAGGGGUUAUUGAUCAAGGGGAGAAAGAAUAAUUUUGAUUCGAAGAGUGUUUGAUUUUUAUACGAAGGGUAUUUGGGAAUUAGACGAAGAGUUAUGGUUAACUGAUAUACGAAGGGUAUAAUUGUUGGUGCAUACGAAAGGAAGUCAAAUCUUCGUAUGAAUUGAAAGAAAAUGGAAAGUUUUGAAUUUGACCCCUAAACCUUCGAAUUUUUGUCACUUUGAAAAUUAAAGCAAGUUUCAAAUAUUUGACACUUUUCACCCAAAUUCGAAAUUUUUUUGGAGCUUCCUAUAUUUGGGGAUGCUUCGUAUGGUUUCAGCAUAAAGGCAAAAUUUUCGAAAAUAGUCCCAAGGCUUCGAAUUUUUGGCAGUUUGCACCCAAAUUCGAAAAGGACUGUUUUUUGCUGAAAAUUGAAGAAAGUGCAUUUCAGACCCCUACAGUUUGUGCAAAUUGACGCUUUCUACCCAGCUUUGGAAAAGGGGGAGAGUUUUGCAUAUUUUGCUGUUUUGGGCGCACCGGGUCACUGCAUAAUUUUGAAAUUGAUAAUUUCUACCCAUUUUUGAGAAAUUUUGUCAAAGACGAUCCGUGAACGAAUCUAAAAAUUGAAUAUUUUUUGGAUUUUCCGGAUUGAAGCACAAAGUUUAUGCCACAUGUUAAGGGUGAGUUUUGACACGAAAAAUUCCAAAUAAAGCACGUUCUUUUUCCUUAAGAGUUUUAUAAUCAAAUUUCGAUAAUAAAAAGGGGGAGAAGUUUUAUAUGGAAAUUCGAACUUGAAUUUUUCAUAUUACGCGAAUUUGAAGACCGAAGUGAUCUUGAAGUUUUGAAGCUUACGAGAUGAUGCAAUUGGAAGUUCGAAAGUGAUGUAUUCGAAAUGGGUUUGGUUUUAUUGAAGAUUUUUGGGGUGUGUUUUUUAUGCGCAACUUUACGGUGAUUAUUUGGAGUUAAUCAUUCGUUGCUGCUCGGUUUGUAUGGUCUCACAUCCUAGAGCCUAAAUUGAAGAAUCAUGGAAGAAUUGAAGAUUGAAGUUCGUUUCGGCAUGUGUCACCUUUGAGGCUCGAACCGCGUAGUUGCUCAACUUUGGAAGAAUUGAAGUGGGUCAUUCAUUCCUAACUUUGAGGGGAAGAAUGUAGGGGUGCAAAGUUAUUCAUGAUUGACUUUGUAAAUGUUUGACUUUUGUAAAACCUACUUACUUGUGGUGCAUUAGCCUUUAGACCUAUGUGUUAGUGAGAGUGAGAGAGACAUGUAAACACCUCUAUAUAAGGUGGGUUUGUCCACUUGUAGAGGUGUGUUUGAGGGAUGUAAAAGUUGAGUGUGUAAGUGUGUGUUAUUUAUGUAGUCUAGAUCUAGAUCCUUUUUGUAACACCAUAUACAAUCAAUACAUCUCUUGAACACCCAAAUCACCAUCUUCAAUUGUGCAAUCUUUAAUUCCGCAUGGCAAACAAUGCUCUUUGUCACUA